UGGAACUGAGACACGGUCCAUACUCUUACGGGAGGCAGCAGUAGGGAAUCUUCCACAAUGGGCGCAAGCCUGAUGGAGCAACACCGCGUGAGUGAAGAAGGGUUUCGGCUCGUAAAGCUCUGUUGUUCGCCAAGAACGUGCGUGAGAGUAACUGUUCACGCAGUGACGGUAUCCAACCAGAAAGUCACGGCUAACUACGUGCCAGCAGCCGCGGUAAUACGUAGGUGGCAAGCGUUAUCCGGAUUUAUUGGGCGUAAAGCGAGCGCAGGCGGUUGCUUAGGUCUGAUGUGAAAGCCUUCGGCUUAACCGAAGAAGUGCAUCGGAAACCGGGCGACUUGAGUGCAGAAGAGGACAGUGGAACUCCAUGUGUAGCGGUGGAAUGCGUAGAUAUAUGGAAGAACACCAGUGGCGAAGGCGGCUGUCUGGUCUGCAACUGACGCUGAGGCUCGAAAGCAUGGGUAGCGAACAGGAUUAGAUACCCUGGUAGUCCAUGCCGUAAACGAUGAGUGCUAGGUGUUGGAGGGUUUCCGCCCUUCAGUGCCGGAGCUAACGCAUUAAGCACUCUGCCUGGGGAGUACGACCGCAAGGUUGAAACUCAAAGGAAUUGACGGGGGCCCGCACAAGCGGUGGAGCAUGUGGUUUAAUUCGAAGCUACGCGAAGAACCUUACCAGGUCUUGACAUCUUGCGCUAACCUUAGAGAUAAGGCGUUCCCUUCGGGGACGCAAUGACAGGUGGUGCAUGGUCGUCGUCAGCUCGUGUCGUGAGAUGUUGGGUUAAGUCCCGCAACGAGCGCAACCCUUGUUACUAGUUGCCAGCAUUAAGUUGGGCACUCUAGUGAGACUGCCGGUGACAAACCGGAGGAAGGUGGGGACGACGUCAGAUCAUCAUGCCCCUUAUGACCUGGGCUACACACGUGCUACAAUGGACGGUACAACGAGUCGCAAGCUCGCGAGAGUAAGCUAAUCUCUUAAAGCCGUUCUCAGUUCGGACUGUAGGCUGCAACUCGCCUACACGAAGUCGGAAUCGCUAGUAAUCGCGGAUCAGCAUGCCG
rnacentral:rRNA from 1 species